GAAUUUAACGGUACAUGCUUUUAAAAUGUAUACAAAUAGCAGCGUAAAAACACAUACAAAUAUUUCCAAUGUAAGCUUUGGUUGUUGAGUAUGUUUCUGACACUCACACAAAGAACUCUUUGCUUACAUAUUUACAUGCACAUGGCGCGAAACUGUAUUUCAGGUUAAAUAUUUAAAGUUUUUUACAAAAUUUUGUAGUUAUCAAAACAUAUCAGUUAAGUACUUAUCAGCUGCUCUUCGUAGGAACUUAAAACUUGUAGAAAAUUCUCUCAGCGAACUCAAUUUUUAAUUUCUUCCAGUACUUGUGAUAAAUAGAGAGAACUACCAUCGCGCUCAUAACUGUAAUACAUAUCAAAAACCCAUAUUUUUUUUUGUUUUCCCCAAAAUUGCAUUCCUUUACAGAUUUACCCGAUUCGCAAUUGAUCAUAAGGGGUGAUAUAUUUCGAGGUUUCCCACUUUUUUAAAUAAAAAACACAGAAACUUCAAAUUUAAUGGGGAAUGUUUAUUGUCAUUCGAAAGAACAUUCUUUGGCACGUAGUUUUUGAAAAUUAUCUCUUUCAAAUGUUGGCCGCGGCAAUUUUAGAUGACUUGUUCGACCAUUUCGACUGGUAACUGGCGAAUAUCACGCGUGAUGUUUUGAUCCAAGGCCUCGAAUCGAAGCGGAAUCGUCCGCAUAGACCUUAUACUUUACAUAUCCCCACAGGAAAAGUCUAACGGUUUUGGUGGUCAGUCGAUCGGUCCAAAACGUGAAAUUAUCUGCACACCGAUGUUUUCUCAAUAAAUCCACUCAUAACAUAUUUGAAGCGAUGUGUGGGAAGUGGCGCUGUCUUGUUGAAACCAAAUGUCGCCGAGACCACGAGCUUCAAUUUCAGGCAUCAAAUAGUCGAAUCAUAGCGCGAUAACGGUCGCCAUUUACGUUACGUUUGAAGAAAUAUGGACCGAUGAUUCCACCAGCCUACAAAUGACAUCAAACCAUUAUUUGACAGCUCUUGAAACUCUUCAGGUUGCUCUUCGUCCCAAAUGCUGUCAUGCUGUCAUUUUGUCUCAUCACUGCAUAAAAUUUGGCUCAAAAACGUCGGAUCUUCCUGGAACUUUUCAAUAGUCCAGCGGCUUCAGUUCUUGCGGAAGCUGUGUUUUGUAUGCUUUCAAGUUAAGAUCUUGACGCGAAAUGCGCCAAGUCGUUCCAUAUAUCAGUCCGACUCUCCACGGUCUUCGUGCACACUCUCAGCUAGAUUUUCUUCACUGCGUGCUGGACGUGGUGUUGCGAAUAGUUCGCUCGGUGGUCUGAUUACGUUGACCUUAAGUUGAGCGAAGCGAGCGUAACACACUCUUUACAGAACGUGAAAUUUCAUAAUAAAGUUGAACGAUUUGUAAACGUUUUUCAGGCUUAAGUCUUACCAUGAUGAAAUGCCAAACGAUACUGAACAAAACUAACAAGACAGCUUGACACGAUUCUCACGUGAUCUGUCAAAAAAGGCUAUUGAAAAAAGUCACCCGUAAACAUAUGAAAUUUUUGUUUACAUGAGUUCUUUGCCUUUGGAUGUAUAACCCUUACAAAACCUGUCCAUAAACUAGAGGUAACCACAAAAUAAAAAUCACUUGGCUGUACUAGAUAAUCUAUAGAAUCAGAUUACUAUUUAUAAUCAAAAACUAGUUAUGCCAUUUUAAGAGAUCUUUGAAGUUAGGAUAUUCAAUAAUAUAGAAAAAUUACUGUCAAAAUAAAGCCACUCUCUAUUUUCAAAUCUUUUACUUUUGCUGUAUCUCAUGUUUGGUAACGGGUGCCUUAUGAAUCUGUGUACAGUGUUCAUGGCAUAAAGUACAAUACGAAGCCAUAAAAGAUAUUGUCAGCUCACAGGCUGAUUGUUAGUCCUUAAUUUUAGGCGUUGGAAAUGUCAAAAGUUUUCUUAAUAUUAAAUAUUAUGUUUUAAUGUUUUUUCUUUACCUCCUCUAACAUUUCCUGCACCGAAUGAUUGAUUUCAAAGAUUGCAAUGAGCUACUUCAUAAGCCAUAGGAAAAGGCAAUAUAGUAAACGUUUGCGUAACUCCCUAGUAGCUAAGUACUGCAAAAUUACGGAUUAAGUUUUUUCUACAUUUUUAAUUUUUACUUGACACCAGUUGAAUUGAAUGAAUAACUAUUAUUAACACGAAACACUAAGGAAUAGCCAAUGGAAUACUUUGCUACACUCAAAAAAUGUGUAUAUGAGUUCAACCAUCUAUCAGCUUUUACUACUACAAACUGAAUGAGCGCUUUAAUCUUUUUUUUAGAAAUUCAUAAUGAAAAGCUUAAAACAUAGUUUUAUAAGCAAGUGUCUGACAGCAUUUUAAAUAUCAUAACUAUACAUCAAUUUACUUUUUCAACGAAAGAGGCUACGAAUGUUUCAUGGAAACACAAUUUUUUUUUAUUUUAAAAUUAGUUCUACUUUCUCGAAUAUACUGGGCUGCGGAAAAGUUUUUGUUUAGCUUAUCACCGCUAAAUUUUUCAGUCAAGCAGAAAAGUAGAAAGCACUCCGUUGAGUGAGAGUUGUCAAACCUAUAUAUAAAACCUACUAACGGUAAAAUUUGUUUCACUGAACCGAUAAGUGGUAGUUAAACUUAUGGUUGAUGUAUAGAAAGUCAACUUAACUACAAGACAUAUAGCUUAUUCUUGAUAAAUCUCGAUUUCGAUAUAUUUUCUAACCCAGUAGCGUAUCCAGUAUAUUUUUCUGAGGAGGGUUUUCCUUCCAACAUAUCUUUAAUAUUGAUGUUACUUUGUGAAUAAUUCUGAAUUUGAAUUAAAAUCUCCAAUUUUGGGAUUCUAACCUAUAAAAGUGCAAUCUAGAAAAAAAUCGUCGCCUCUUAAAAUACACAAUUUAUAUAACGGUAUAUUACUAAA